rnacentral:rRNA from 1 species
GAUGAACGCUGGCGGCAUGCCUAAGACAUGCAAGUCGAACGAGAUGGCCCAGUGAAGGUUGAGUGCUUGCACGAGACUGAAUCUGGAUUCCCAUCUAGUGGCAGACGGGUGAGUAACACGUGGGUGACCUACCUUUUCGUUGGGGAUAACAGUUGGAAACGAUUGCUAAUACCGAAUAAAAUGUAAGAGUCAAUUUUACAUUGAAAGGAGCCUUUAAAGCUUCGCGAUUAGAUGGGCCUGCGGCGUAUUAACUAGUUGGUGAGGUAAUGGCUUACCAAGGUGACGAUGCGUAGCCGAACUGAGAGGUUGAUCGGCCACAUUGGGACUGAGACACGGCCCAAAAUCCUACGGGGAGACAGCAGUUAGGAAUAUUGCACAAUGGGGGAAACCCUGAUGCAGC